GUGGGGAAUUUUGGACAAUGGGCGCAAGCCUGAUCCAGCGACGCCGCGUGGAGGACGAAGGCCUUCGGGUUGUAAACUCCUUUUGGAGGGGAAGAAUAAAUUGACGGUACCCUCAGAAAAAGCCACGGCUAACUACGUGCCAGCAGCCGCGGUAAUACGUAGGUGGCGAGCGUUACUCGGAAUUACUAGGCGUAAAGCGUAUGUAGGUGGUUAGAUAAGUCUAUGGUGAAAUUUCCUGGCUUAACUGGGAAGGGACAUAGAUACUAUCUGGAUUGAGUGUGGGAGGGGGAGACGGAAUUCCUGGUGUAGCGGUGAAAUGCGUAGAUAUCAGGAGGAACACCGAUGGCGAAAGCAGUCUCCUGGCCAAAUACUGACGCUGAGGUACGAAAGCUAGGGUAGCAAACAGGAUUAGAAACCCCAGUAGUCC
rnacentral:rRNA from 1 species